rnacentral:lncRNA from 1 species
AUGUUUCAUGAAUGGUUCUUUUCAAUUUCACAGCUGAAGUAGCAGACAACUCUUAAGCUGAAGAAGCAUGCAUCACUUAAGCUGAAGAAACACACAUCUCUUAAGGUAAGUGUUAGGGUUGGCACUGACAUAAGGGGUAGGGUAAGGCUUAGGUAGUACUUCCUCCACCCUGGGUAUGAAAGGUUUUCAAGCAUUAGCUUUCCCCCCCUUUGGACAGGAGGGGGUUAACACUUGU